rnacentral:rRNA from 1 species
GCAGUGAGGAAUAUUGGUCAAUGGUCUAACGACUGAACCAGCAAUUUGGAGGAAUGUAUAACGAAUAAGUCGUAUAAAGUUCUAGGUAAAAAAUUUAUAAUGACUAAUUUUUACCUAUAAGUCUUGACCAAAUUACGUGCCAGCAGUCGCGGUAAUACGUAGAAGACAAGUGUUACUCAUCUUUAGCAGGUUUAAAGGGUACCUAGACGGAAAAUCAAGCCAUAGUAGGGACUAAUUUUCUAGAGUUUUAUAUGUGAAGAUCGAACCACCUGAGGAGCGAUAAUAUGCACUGAUACAGGUGGGACGGGUAUCGGCGAAGGCAAUCUUCUAUGCAAUAACUGACGUUGAGGGACGAAGCCUUGGGGAGCGAGAAGGAUUAGAUACCCUAGUAGUCCAAGGAGAAAAUUAUGAGUGCCAUAGACUAUUAACUAGUUUAUAAAUGAAAGUGAAAGCAUUCCACCUCAUGAGUAAAGCGGCAACGCCGAAAUUGAAAUCAUUAGACCGUUUUUGAAACCAGUAGUGAAGUAUGUUAUUUAAUUCGAUGAUCCGCGAAAAACCUUACCACCUCUUGAAUUUUUUCUUUGAUUAUACAAGCGCUGCACGGCUGUCUUCAGUUAAUGUCGUGAGAUUUUGGUUUGUUCCAUUAAUUAACGAAAACCCUUGUCUUAUUUUUAUAUAAGACAGCUUAUCGCUAUAUUUUGAUAAGUUAGUAGGGACCAAGACAAGUCAUCAUGGCCUUAAUGAUGUGGGCUAUA